CGAAACUAUAUUUUCUCCUCCUUCCUGUCACGUCUUCAAACCGUCCGCUUCUCUUGGCCUCUUUCUCUCUGUGCAGAUCGAACCCAAAGAUGCGUUUCAACUCUCCACAAACCCUAACUUCAACCUGAUAAUUGGACACCACUUCGCCGCUCUUCAAUGGCGUUUUUUCUACAUCCAUCAUCAUCUUAAAUUUUCUAACUCAUUUUCCAACUUUUUCAAUCACCAUGUUCGAAGCUCACGUUCUGCAUUUGCUUCGAAGAUAUUUGGGUGAAUAUGUCCAUGGGCUUUCGGUAGAGGCAUUAAGGAUCAGUGUUUGGAAAGGUGAUGUUGUCCUCAAAGAUUUGAGAUUGAAGGCAGAAGCACUAAAUGCACUGAAACUUCCAGUCACAGUCAGAGCUGGUUUUGUUGGCACUAUCACAUUAAAGGUUCCGUGGAAAAGUUUAGGCAAGGAACCUGUGAUUGUUCUCAUUGAUCGUGUCUUCAUUCUUGCUCAUCCUGCUUCUGUUGGCCGGGCUCUCAAUGACGAGGACAGAAGAAAACUUUUUGAAGCCAAACUUCAACAGAUUGAGGAAGCAGAAUCAGCAAUCCUUGAAGCAAUGUCUAGGUCAAAGUUGGGAAAUGUACAGUCUUUGGUUUCGGUUCUCCUUUUACUCAUGUAUUUUAGUUGCUUUAGAUAGACACUUAAAAUGUUCUGUAAGGGCAAAUUCCUUUAGUAAUCUUUGUUCAAAUGACUGUUCUUGUUUGGGGAUGUAUUGAUAGAAGCUUCUUUUUUAUCAGUUAUUGAAACUAUUAUGGCCCUUGCCAGUGUAUAUUGAUUGUUUGAACAUUAUGAUGCUUCUGUUUGAAACCAUUCAUUUUGGAUCACCCUUAUCUUUGGAUUAUAAUUUGUUUAUUAUCUUUAGAUGCUGCUCUUGGUACAAUUUAUCCAUGGAAAAAUUUAGGACAACUUUCUUAGCUCUAUGUAGAGAAGGUGGCAGAGGCAUCUUGUUCAUAGGCUUGUAGUUCUCUGUUUUAUCCUACAUACUUGUGAUAUUUUUAAGUUAUAGCACCAUGUGCCAGAAUGUGCAUUUCUUUAUUUAUCUCUUUUAAGAAAAUUUGUUGAUAUUAAUUAGCAUGCUAAGUCAAUCUGAUAUCUGAUCCUUUUGCAGCCUUCUCCUGCAAAUUCAUGGCUAGGUUCUUUGAUUGCCACUAUUAUUGGAAAUCUUAAGAUUUCAAUUAGCAAUGUGCAUGUCAGAUAUGAGGAUGCAGUCAGUAAUCCAGGGCAUCCAUUUUCAUGUGGUGUUACCUUAGCUAAGCUGGCAGCUGUGACGAUGGAUGAGCAGGGAAAUGAAACUUUUGACACCAGUGGUGCAUUGGAUAGAUUGCGGAAGUCAUUGCAGCUUGAGAGACUUGCUGUUUAUCAUGAUUGUAAUAGCCUUCCCUGGAAAAUAGAUAAGAGAUGGGAAGAUCUCAGUCCCAAAGAAUGGAUUGAGAUAUUUGAAGAUGGUAUAAAUGAACCUUCUAUUGGCUAUGGAAUGGUGUCUAAGUGGGCUGUGAAUCGCAAGUAUGUGCUCUCGCCAAUCAAUGGAGUUCUUAAAUAUCAUCGUCUUGGAAAACAAGAAAGAAGUGAUCCAGAAAUUCCAUUCGAGAAGGCCUCUCUUGUUUUAAGUGAUGUUUCGUUAACAAUUACAGAGGCACAAUAUCAUGAUUGGAUAAAACUUUUGGAAGUUGUUUCAAGAUACAAGACUUAUGUUGAGAUUUCUCAUUUAAGACCUGAGGUGACUGUUUCAAAGGAUCCUCGUCUGUGGUGGCGUUAUGCAGCUCAAGCUGUCCUGCAGCAGAAGCAAAUGUGCUACCGAUUGUCAUGGGAUCGAAUCCAGCACUUUUGUCAGCUUCGCCGCCGUUAUGUUCAGUUGUAUGCUGGUUCACUUCAACAUUCAUCUAAUGCAAAUGUCUCAGAGCUUGGAGAAAUGGAGAAAGAUCUUGAUUCCAAGGUUAUUCUUUUAUGGAGGUUGCUAGCACAUGCCAAGGUUGAAUCUGUAAAAUCGAAGGAAGCAGCUGAACAGAGGAGGCUUAAAAAGAAAAGCUGGUUUUCAUUUACAUGGCAUACAGACUCAGAAGAUGCUAAUAAUGUGGAUGCUUCUGAGGGAUCACGAUUAACAGAAGAAAGAUUGACGAAAGAAGAAUGGAAGGCUAUUAAUAAUUUACUUAGUUACCAGCAGGAUGAGGAGAUAAUGCCACACGUAGGAAAGGACAUGCAGAAUAUGAUUCUGUAUUUGGUGACUGUAUCUGUCAGACAGGCUGCUGCUAGGAUCAUUGAUGUAAAUCAGAAUGAGAUUAUUUGUGGUAGAUUUGAGCAACUACAUGUGUCAACCAAAUUUAAAAAUCACAGUACCCACUGUGAUGUGUUAUUGAAAUUCUAUGGUUUGUCAGCUCCUGGAGGUUCACUUGCUCAGAGUGUAUCUAGUGAGCAGAAGGCAAAUGCAUUAUUUGCUAGUUUUGUACAUUCACCAGUUGGGGAGAAUGUGGACUGGAAGCUGUCUGCAACAAUUUCUCCUUGCCAUGUCACGGUUUUAAUGGAAAGCUUUGAUCACUUUUUUGAGUUUGUAAAGAGGAGUAAUGCAGUUAGUCCUACUGUUGCAUUGGAAACUGCAAAUGCUUUGCAGAUGAAGCUUGAAAAAGUUACUCGUAGAGCACAAGAACAAUUUCAGAUGGUAUUGGAGGAACAGAGCAGAUUUGCCCUUGACAUAGAUUUGGAUGCUCCAAAAGUCAGGGUUCCUAUAAGGACAGUUGGCUCUUCAAAUUGUGAUGUGCAUUUUAUUUUGGAUUUUGGUCAUUUUACAUUGAACACUGCGGAAAGUGAAUCUGAUGAACAAAGGCAGAGCCUUUAUUCUCGUUGCUACAUAUCUGGAAGAGAUAUUGCUGCAUUCUUUACAAAUUGUAAUUCAGACUGUCAGAACCCCACGGUGGUUGUACCAAAUGAUAAUAGUCAGGCAAUAACAUCUCACGUACUGGAAAAAAAUGACAAUUUCUAUUCUCUCAUUGAUAGGUGUGGAAUGGCAGUAAUUGUUGAUCAGAUCAAAGUACCUCACCCAAGUUACCCAUCAACACGCAUAUCCAUUCAAGUGCCAAACCUUGGCAUUCACUUUUCACCAGCAAGAUACUACAGAGUUAUGGAAUUGUUGAACAUGCUGUAUGAUACAAUGGAAAACUGUGGUCAGUCAACUGUUGAUAAUUUCCAAACUCAAUUCGCCCCAUGGAGUUCUGCAGAUAUUGCUACUGGUGCUAGAAUCCUUGUUUGGAAGGGGAUUGGCAAUUCCGUGGCUACAUGGCAGCCCUGUUUUCUUGUGUUAUCUGGAUUGUAUCUCUAUGCUAUGGAAUCUCAGAGAUCUCAGAGCUACCAGCGAUACAUGAGCAUGGCCAGUAGACAGGUAAUUGAGGUUCCUCUGUCAAAUGUUGGUGGUUCCCCAUUCUGUAUUGCUGUUUGUUCCAGGGGAAUGGACAUUCAACAGGCAUUGGAAUCUUCUAGCACCUGGAUUUUAGAGUUUCACAAUGAGGAGGAGAAAGCCAUUUGGUUUAAAGGACUUAUACAGGCUACUUAUCAAGCUUCCGUUCCUUCAUCAAUUGACGUACUUGGAGAAACAAGGGAUGCUGCGGCUGAAUUUGGGGAACUCCGGACCCCGAAUUUGAAAACAGCUGACCUUGUCAUUAAUGGGGCAGUAGUAGAGACAAAGUUAUGUAUAUAUGGAAAGACUGGAGUUGAAGUUGAUGAAAAACAUAAGGAGACUCUAAUCAUAGAGGUUCUUGCCGGUGGGGCAAAGGUGCACAUGCUUCGUUCAGAGGCUGACCUGACAGUCAAGAUGAAGCUGCACUCAUUGAAAAUUAAAGAUGAACUUCAAGCUUGUCUGUCUACAAGCCCACAAUAUUUGGCAUGCUCUGUGCUGAAGAAUGAUAAGACACUUGCAACUCCUAGUCCUAGCCCUCUUGACCUUCAAGGGAGAGAGAUCUCCGUGGUACCUCAUGAUGAUGAUGAUACUUUUACAGAUGCUUUGCCUGAAUUUUCAUCUGCAUCAGAUCCUGCUGUUUAUUCACCCAGAAUAGAUGUGUCUCAUUCUGGAACAGUGGGAGUUAUCAGUGACUCUGUGGAAUUUGAGUCUGCUGAAGCCUUAAUUCUUGAGCAGGAUCUGUUACAUGGAAAGAGCAUUUCUAAUGAGACAUUUUAUGAGGCACAAGGUGGUGAUAGUUUGGAUUUUGUAUCUAUGAUCUUUUCAACAAGGAGCUCCUCUUCGUCUGAUUAUGACGGUGUAGAUACGCAGAUGAGUAUCCGCAUGUCCAAAUUAGAGUUCUUUUGCAACAGGCCUACUCUUGUUGCUUUAAUUGGUUUUGGUUUUGAUCUAAGUUCUGGGAAUUCUGUGCAAAGUAAUGUAAAGAUGGAUGGAAUCUCAGAUGACAAAUCUUUGAUGAACAAAGAAAAGGCUGAAGAUAAUGGGCGUGUUAAAGGGUUGCUGGGAUAUGGUAAACAUCGUGUUGUAUUUUAUUUAAACAUGAAUGUUGACAGUGUCACUGUCUUUCUCAACAAAGAGGACAGUUCUCAGCUUGCUGUGCUUGUGCAAGAAAGCUUCCUGUUGGAUCUUAAGAUCCAUCCUGGUUCUCUUUCUAUUGAAGGCACAUUAGGAAAUUUCAGACUCUGUGAUAUGUCACUCGGAACUGAUCAUUGUUGGAGUUGGCUUUGUGAUAUACGUAAUCCAGGGCUUGAAUCCCUUAUAAAGUUCAAGUUUAGUUCCUAUUGUGCUGAAGAUGAUGAUUAUGAAGGAUAUGAUUACAGUUUGAGUGGCCGACUAUCUGCUGUACGCAUUAUUUUCCUCUACAGGUUUGUCCGAGAGAUAACUGUGUACUUUAUGGAACUUGCAACUCCACAUACUGAAGAAGCGAUUAAACUUGUCGAUAAAGUUGGAGAUUUUGAGUGGUUAAUUCAGAAGUAUGAGAUUGAUGGAGCAACUGCAUUCAAGCUGGACCUCUCACUUGACACUCCAAUUAUCAUUGUUCCCAGGAAUUCCAUGAGCAAAGAUUUUAUUCAACUUGAUCUGGGUCAGUUAGAGAUCACAAAUGAAUUUAGUUGGCAUGGCUGCCCAGAGAAAGAUCCUUCAGCUGUCCACAUGGAUGUUCUUCAUGCUAAGAUUCUGGGAAUCAACAUGUCUGUAGGAGUUGAUGGUUGUCUGGGAAAGCCAAUGAUACGGGACGGAAAAGGACUAGAUAUAUAUGUGCGCCGCAGUUUGCGAGAUAUUUUUGGGAAAGUUCCAACAUUUUCUCUUGAAGUAAAGGUGGAUUUCCUCCAUGGUGUUGUGUCUGAUAAAGAAUACAACGUAAUUCUAAAUUGUACAUUCAUGAAUUUAUCCGAAGAGCCAAGGCUUCCUCCAAGUUUUCGGGGUAGUAAGACUGAUUCGAAAGAUACAAUGCGAAUGCUGGUUGACAAGGUCAACAUGAAUAGUCAAAUAUUAUUAUCACAAACUGUUAACAUUGUGGCAGUUGAUAUCAAUUAUGCACUGUUGGAGCUAUGCAAUGGCAUUCAUGAGUCACCAUUAGCUCAUAUUGCUUUGGAAGGUCUAUGGGUAUCAUACCGGACAUCUUCAUUGUCUGAAACAGAUCUCUACAUAACUAUUCCUAAAUUUUCUAUAUUGGACAAUCGCCCUGAUACAAAACCUGAAAUGCGCUUGAUGCUUGGGUUGUCUACUGAUAUUUCUAAACAAGCUUCUAGUGGAAAUUUUUCACACUUGCCGAACAGAGCCAGCUUUAGGAGGAUAAAAUCUGAAUCUGGCCUUGAUAUGGAUGUACCAUAUUCAACAAUGUUUUUGAUGGACUAUAGAUGGCGACUUUCGUCCCAAUCAUGUGUGGUUCGGGUUCAGCAGCCUCGUGUCCUUGUUGUACCAGAUUUUCUUCUAGCUGUGGGAGAGUUUUUUGUGCCAGCAUUGGGCGCAAUAACUGGAAGGGAGGAAACUACGGAUCCUAAGAAGGAUCCCAUCUGUAGAAGCAAUAGCAUAGUACUCUCAGAGCCUGUUUACAAACAGAGGGAGGACGUUGUGCACUUGUCUCCAAGUAGGCAGUUAAUAGUGGAUGCCAAGGGAGUUGAUGAAUAUACAUAUGACGGCUGUGGAAAGGUUAUCUGUCUAAGUGAAGAAACCAAUAUGAAAGAAUUUAAUUCUGUGAGAUCCCAACCGAUCAUAAUAAUUGGGCGUGGCAAGAGGCUGCAGUUUGUUAAUGUGAAGAUUGAGAAUGGUUCCCUUUUGAGGAAGUAUGCAUACUUGAGUAAUGAUAGCAGUUACUCGGUUGCCAUAGAAGAUGGUGUUGACAUUUUGUUGGUGGACAAUUCUUCACCUGAUGAUGACAAGAUUCUGGAUGACAUGCAUAGAUCAUCAGACAACUUGAAUACCUCUGAUUCUCAAAAUGAUUCAAAUGGAAUGCAGAGUUUCACUUUUGAAGCACAGGUUGUUUCUUCUGAGUUUACCUUCUAUGAUGGCACAAAAUCUUCAUUAGAUGAUUCUUCAUAUGGCGAAAAGCUUCUACGUGCAAAAAUGGAUUUAAGUUUCAUGUAUGCAACAAAAGACAAUGACACUUGGAUUCGAGCACUGGUGAAGGAUCUGACAGUUGAGGCUGGUUCUGGUCUCAUGAUUCUGGAUCCUGUGAAUAUUUCAGGAGGGUAUACAUCCGUGAAGGAGAAAACGAAUAUAUCUCUGAUAUCUACAGAUAUAUGCUUCCAUCUUUCCUUGAGUGCCAUUUCUCUUUUACUUAACUUGCAGACUCAGGCAGCCGCUGCAUUCCAAUUUGGAAAUGCGGUUCCUAUAGCACCUUGUAUCAACUAUGACCGAAUUUGGGUGUCGCCAAAAGAAAAUGGCCCUCGUAAUAACCUUACUUUCUGGAGGCCUCAAGCUCCUUCAAACUACGUUAUAUUGGGAGAUUGUGUGACAUCAAGGUCAAAUCCUCCUUCACAAGCAGUCAUGGCAGUGAGUAACACAUAUGGACGUGUGAGAAAGCCUAUUGGAUUUAAUCUCAUUGGCUUGUUCUCUGAAAUUCAAGGAUUUGGAGGUGAAGGCCAUUCUGAUUCUGACAGUGAUUGUUCUCUUUGGAUGCCUGUUGCGCCAGCAGGAUACACAGCUCUUGGUUGUGUGGCCAAUAUAGGAAGCCAACCUCCACCAAAUCAUAUAGUUCAUUGCCUACGGUCUGACCUUGUGGCAUCUACAACAUAUUCUGAAUGCUUAUUUAGUGUGCCACCACAUCCGUUGUCUGUAUCUGGGUUUAGUAUUUGGCGCAUGGACAAUGUUAUUGCAUCUUUUUUUGCCCAUUCUUCAACUGAAUAUCCUCCCAGAGUCAAUAGUUGCAACCUUAGUCAUGUUCUCCUCUGGAGCUCCAUGCGGCAUCAUUCUUUGUCUAAAGAAACUGCAUCAGAUUUGACAGUUGACCACGGCCAUAAAUGUAAGCAAAAAGGCAGUGAGACAGAAAAUUCAUCUGGAUGGGACAUUAUCCGAUCAAUUUCAAAAGCAUCUAAUUGUUACGUAUCGACCCCCAAUUUUGAGAGGAUAUGGUGGGACAAGGGCAGUGAUGUACGGAGACCUGUUUCAAUAUGGCGACCUAUUGCACGUCCUGGUUAUGCCAUACUAGGAGAUUGCAUUACUGAAGGCUUGGAACCACCUGCUUUGGGCCUAAUAUUUAGAAAUGAUAAUCCUGAACUCUCUUCAAGGCCUGUGCAAUUUACUAAAGUUGCUCAUAUUGCUGGGAAAGGUUUUGAUGAAGUCUUUUUCUGGUAUCCAAUUGCUCCUCCUGGAUAUGCUUCUCUAGGAUGUGUUGUCACCAGAACGGAUGAAGCACCUAGAGUAUCUUCAUUGUGCUGCCCAAGGAUGGAUCUUGUUAACCAAGUGAAUAUAGUUGAGAUGCCCAUUUCGAGAUCUUCUAGCUCAAAGGCAUCUCAUUGCUGGAGUAUUUGGAAAGUUGAGAAUCAGGUUAAAAUGGAAGUUGCUGAACUCUUAGUCAGAAUUGGUCUUGAUUUGUGUGGUUAUGUGUAUCGACAGUUUAAACUAAAUAUUUACCUUAAGUUUACUUUUUCAAAUCUAUUUUUUCUUGAUCUUAUGGAUCAACCCAUUGCACUUUUAUUUGAACCUGAGGAAUCAUAUGUUUAAUUUUAUCCUAUGUUUCUGUAGGCUUCCACUUUUCUUGCCCGCCCUGAUCUGAAAAAGCCAUCAAGCAGGUUGGCAUUUGCAAUUGGUGAUUCUGUGAAGCCAAAGUCACGGGAAAACAUAACUGCUGAGCUGAAGCUAAGAUGUUUUUCUGUAACUGUUUUAGACAGCUUAUGCGGAAUGAUGACACCUCUGUUUGAUACUACAAUAACCAAUAUCAAGCUUGCAACACAUGGUCGACUGGAGGCAAUGAAUGCUGUACUCAUUUCUUCUAUUGCUGCGUCAACCUUUAACACACAAUUGGAAGCAUGGGAGCCACUUGUGGAACCAUUUGACGGAAUCUUCAAGUUUGAAACCUAUGAUACCAAUGUACAUCCACCAUCAAGACUUGCAAAGAGAGUGCAUAUCGCCGCAACCAGUAUUCUGAAUGUAAAUUUCAGUGCAGCCAACCUUGAAACUUUUGUAGGGACCAUUCUUUCUUGGAGAAAGCAGCUAGAACUUGACCAGAAAGCAAUAAAGCUAAAUGAGGAAGCUGGUAGUCAUCGUAGAGGAGAAGAGGAUCCAACUUAUUCUGCUUUGGAUGAAGAUGAUUUUCAGACUGUAACAAUUGAAAAUGAACUUGGAUGUGAUAUGUAUCUGAAAAAGGUUGAGGAUGAUGUGAAUGCAGUUGACCAGCUACAUCCUGGUGGCUGUGCUUCUGUGUGGAUCCCACCUCCAAGAUUUUCUGACAGGUUAAAAGUUGCAGAUGAAUCCAGGGAAGCACGCUGUUAUGUUGUUAUCCAGAUAGUUGAAGCUAAGGGUUUGCCCAUCAUUGAUGAUGGUAAUAGCCAUAACUUCUUUUGUGCUCUACGCCUUGUUGUUGAUAGUCAGGGGACAGAUCAGCAAAAGCAUUUUCCUCAGAGUGCAAGGACAAAAUGUGUGAAGCCUGUAUUUCCUAAAGAAAAUGAACGUAAUAGUGGCAUUGCAAAGUGGAAUGAAGUUUUCAUAUUUGAAAUUCCUCGAAAGGGGCUGACUAAGUUAGAAGUGGAGGUCACAAAUCUUGCAGCCAAAGCUGGAAAGGGUGAAGUUAUCGGUGCACUCUCAUUACCUGUUGUAUAUGGAUCAGCCAUGCUGAAAAAGGUUGCCUCAGCAAGGAUGCUUCACCAACCCAGUAAUGCCCAGAAUAUUGCGUCAUAUCCUCUAAGAAGAAGGGCUCAACAAGACAAUGUUGAAGAGUUGCAUGAUAUUGGAAGCCUGUUGGUUUCUACUACUUAUUUUGAAAGGAAUAUGGUAUCAAACUUUCAUGGAGGUAAGGAAACUGAGUAUUCUCAUCAUAGAGACAUAGGUUUCUGGGUUCGGCUUAGCCCAGAGGGUGCUUGGGAGGGUGUUCGUUCAUUGCUACCGCUGUCUGUGGUCCCCAAAUUGUUAGAGAGUGAUUUUAUUGCCAUGGAAGUGGUCAUGAAAAAUGGCAAGAAGCAUGUAAUUUUCAGGGGCCUUGCAACAGUCAUGAAUGAUUCAGAUAUUAAACUGGAUGUUUCUGUAUGCCAUGCAUCUUCAGUUUCUUCUUCAGGGAGAAGCAACAUUAAUAUUGUGAUAGAUGAGAUCUUUGAAAAUCAAUGUUAUCAUCCUAUUUCUGGUUGGGGUAACAAGUGGCCUAGCUUUAAAAGUAAUGAUCCAGGGCGAUGGAGCACCAGAGAUUUCUCAUAUUCAUCAAAUGAUUUUUUUGAACCUUCCCCUCCUCCUGGAUGGCAAUGGACAUCUUCUUGGAUUAUUGAUAAAUCUUCCCCCGUUGACGAUGAUGGCUGGGCAUAUGGUCCUGAUUUCCACAGUUUGAAGUGGCCUCCAACUCCAAAGUCUCGCACAAAAUCUAAUCUUGAUGUUGUGCGCCGUAGGCGUUGGAUUCGUAGGAGGCAACAAAUAACUGGGCAAGGAUCUGAUAACAUGAAUGGCAAUUUAAUUUCCAUAAAUCCUGGAUCAUCAGCUGUUUUACCAUGGAGAAGCACAUCAAAGGAUUCUGACCACUUCUUACAAGUGCGCCCUUGUGUUGAUCAUUCUCAGCCUGCAUGUUCAUGGGGUCGACAAGUUACCUUUGGUUCUGGCUAUGCAUUUGGAAAGGAGCAGCCUUUCAUUGAUCAAGGCUUGCUCACUAGACAGAAUACUUUGAAGCAGGGAAGUAAAAUGCCUAACACUUUUAAGUUGAAUCAGCUGGAGAAGAAAGAUGCUCUUUUUUGUUGUUCUUCUAGUAGUGGAAGUAAACUGUUUUGGCUUAGUGUAGGCACUGAUGCCUCAAUUCUUCACACUGAACUUAAUUCUCCCAUAUAUGAUUGGAGAAUAUCUAUCAACUCUCCGUUGAAGUUGGAAAACCAACUUCCUUGCCCGGCUGAAUUCACAAUUUGGGAAAAAACGCAUGACGAGGGUUGCAUUGAGCGACAACAUGGAAUGAUCUCUUCACGCAGUGGUGUACAUAUAUACUCAGCAGAUAUCCAAAAACCAAUCUAUCUCACAUUGCUUGUUCAGGGUGGUUGGCUUUUAGAAAAGGACCCUGUUCUUGUUCUGGAUCUUCCUUCCAGUGAUCAUGUCUCAUCAUUCUGGAUGUUCCACCAGCAAAGUAAAAGGAGACUGCGUGUGAGCAUUGAACGAGAUAUGGGAGGAACCAUUGCUGCACCCAAAACAAUUAGGUUAUUUGUUCCUUACUGGAUAGUGAAUGAUUCAUAUCUGCCAUUGGCAUAUAGGGUGGUAGAAAUUGAGCCAUCAGAUAUUGCAGAUACAGAUUCUGUCUUUCUUUCAAGAGCAGUUAAGUCUGCAAAAACAGCUUUGAGAAAUCCCACAAUGGAAAGGAGACAUUCUGCUUCAAAGCGAAACAUUCAAGUACUUGAAGUAAUCGAGGAUACAAGCCCCCUACCUAGCAUGCUUUCUCCACAAGAUUCAGCGGGUAGAAGUGGCGUUAUGCUGUUUCCAUCCCAGAAAGAUGCAUAUAUGUCCCCACGAGUGGGUCUUGCUGUUGCUAUUCGUCAUUCUGAGUUCUAUAGUCCUGGGAUUUCUCUUCUUGAGCUUGAAAAGAAGGAAAGGGUUGAUGUCAAGGCAUUUAGUUCAGAUGGAUCCUACUACAAGCUUUCGGCUCUACUCAAGACCUCAGAGAGGACAAAGGUUGUUCAUUUUCAGCCACAUAUCUUGUUUAUCAAUAGGGUUGGUUUCAGUCUCUGCCUAAAGCAGUGUGAUUCUCAGUUGUUCGAAUGGAUUCAUCCUACUGAUCCUCCAAAAUCAUUUGGAUGGCAGUCUUCUGCUAAAGUUGAGCUAUUGAAGUUGCGGUUGGAUGGAUAUGAUUGGAGCACGCCAUUUAGUGUUUGCAGUGAAGGUAUGAUGCGCAUUUCUUUGAAGAAAGAUACUGGAGGUGAUCAAAUGCAGCUAAGGGUACAAGUAAGAAGUGGCACAAAGAGCUCUCGCUAUGAAGUUAUUUUCCGUCCAGACUCUUCAUCCAGUCCAUACAGGAUUGAAAAUCGUUCUAUGUUUUUACCUAUCCGUUUUCGGCAAGUUGAUGGUGCUGGUGAUUCAUGGAAGCUUCUUCUUCCUAGCACAGCUGCUUCAUUCUUGUGGGAAGAUCUUGGUCGACGGCAACUGUUGGAACUCUUUGUAGAUGGGACUGACUCGUCAAAAUCACUUAUAUACAAUAUUGAUGAGACUUCUGAUAACUUGCCCAUCCAUAUGGGUGGUGGACCUACUAGAGCUUUACGUGUUACUAUUGUGAAGGAAGACAAAAUGAAUGUUGCUAAGAUCAGUGAUUGGAUGCCAGAAAAUGAGCCUACUGCUGUCACAAGUACCGGAGUCUCUCUUCAGUCAUCACAGGUUGAAGGAAAUGAUUCUCAACAACAUCAAUUGCCAUCCACCACUGAUUGUGAAUUUCAUGUUGUUCUUGAGCUUGCUGAGCUUGGAAUAUCAGUAAUUGACCACACACCAGAAGAAAUUUUAUAUUUAUCAGUGCGGAAUCUUCUUCUGGCAUAUUCUACUGGCUUGGGAUCUGGGUUCAGUAGGUUCAAAUUGAGAAUGCAUGGAAUACAAGUGGAUAACCAGUUGCCAUUAACUCCAAUGCCAGUUCUCUUCAGGCCACAGAAAGUUGUGCAUGAGAUGGACUAUAUGUUGAAGUUUUCCAUGACACUGCAAUCAAAUGGUUCAUUAGAUCUAUGUGUUUAUCCAUAUAUUGGUUUCAGUGGACCUGACAACUCUGCUUUCUUAAUAAACAUUCAUGAACCUAUUAUCUGGCGCCUUCAUGAAAUGAUCCAGCAGGUCAAUAUCAGUAGGUUACAAGAUACUCAAACAACUGCUGUUUCAGUUGAUCCAAUCAUUCAAAUUGGUGUUCUUAGCAUCUCAGAAGUUCGAUUCAAAGUGUCAAUGGGUAUGUCACCUGGUCAACGGCCAAGAGGAGUCCUUGGUUUCUGGUCGUCCUUAAUGACUGCUUUGGGAAACACUGAAAAUAUGCCAGUGAGAAUAAACCAAAGAUUUCAUGAGAACAUAUGCAUGAGGCAGAGUGCUAUGAUUAGCAUUGCUAUUUCAAAUGUUAAAAAGGAUCUUCUCGGCCAACCUCUUCAACUGCUUUCUGGUGUUGAUAUAUUGGGCAAUGCUAGCAGUGCACUCGGACACAUGAGUAAAGGUGUUGCUGCCUUAUCAAUGGACAAGAAGUUCAUCCAAAGUCGACAAAGACAGGAGAAUAAAGGUGUAGAGGACCUUGGUGAUGUUAUCAGAGAGGGAGGUGGAGCUCUAGCAAAGGGUCUAUUUAGAGGAGUCACUGGCAUUUUGACUAAGCCUCUUGAAGGUGCAAAAACCUCUGGCGUAGAGGGUUUUGUUCAGGGUGUUGGAAAAGGGAUAAUAGGUGCAGCUGCCCAACCUGUUAGUGGGGUUCUGGAUCUCUUGUCAAAAACUACUGAAGGUGCCAAUGCUAUGAGAAUGAAAAUAGCAUCUGCUAUAACUUCAGAGGAACAACUCCUCCGCAGGAGACUGCCUCGUGUAAUUAGUGGUGAUAAUUUGCUUCGACCUUACAAUGAGUACAAAGCCCAAGGACAGGUUAUAUUGCAGCUGGCAGAAUCAGGCUCAUUUUUCAGUCAGGUUGAUCUUUUCAAAGUACGUGGGAAAUUUGCCUUAUCAGAUGCUUAUGAAGAUCAUUUUGUGCUUCCUAAAGGAAAAAUUGUCAUGGUGACCCAUCGAAGAGUAAUGUUAUUGCAACAACCCUCUAAUAUUAUUGGUCAGAGGAAGUUCAUUCCAGCAAGGGAUCCAUGUUCGGUGCUGUGGGAUGUGCUGUGGGAUGACUUGGUGACAAUGGAAUUGACUAUUGGAAAAAAAGACCACCCAAAAGCUCCUCCUUCACGGCUGUUGCUUUAUUUAAGGAGUAAACCAACAGAGGCAAAGGAACAAGCUCGUGUAAUAAAAUGUAGCCAUGAAACUGAUCAGGCUCUUGAGGUCUACUGUUCAAUUGAACGAGCAAUGAACACUUUUGGAAAGAACCUUCCAAAGGAAAUGUUGAAACAUAAAGUGAUGAAGCCAUAUGCGCCUGGUGUAGACGGAACCAAUAUUGAAAUGAUUUCAAAAGAAGGGGUUGUUUCCUGGUCGCCACAGCAGGUGCCUGCAUCAGUUCCACUGAGUUCAACUUUUGGUAGCAGCUCCAAUUGAUACGGCAGCCUUUUUUUUUUUUUUAAGGCUUUGUGCUGAAGUCAGGUCAUAAAUUCUGCGUCAAUAUAUAUAUGGGCUGUUGGAACGGUAUGCCAUUGGAUUAAUUCUCAAGCAAUUCCUUUAUAACUUAAAAGUAAAAAAAAAAUAAAAAUAAAAAAAGGUUGAUUUUGCAGUAAAAGAUCACAACCAAUCACUACUGAGGUUUCUUUUGUUUAUGCUUCUUAACUGAUCUACUCAAUUAAUUAAGAAUAAUUCUGUUCUUGUACUAUUUUUUGCACCAAUCUGCCAUACUACUAUAUUUUCACAGUGAAAGGAAAGAAUGAUGAAGAGCUCACUCUCUUAACAUCCUUCCUGUGCCUCCUUUUAAGGUGGGGAAAGAGGUGCUUUAGUUGAACUAAAGAUGAAUCUGACGGAGAAACUCAAGUGUCUAGUGAAAAAAGCUACAUGCCUGAUCCUUUUUAGAAGCAUGGAAUUCAAUUGAGAAUCAAUCAAUGGCCUGCGAGCUAGGAAAAAGAAACUCAAUGUUUGACGAUCAACGCUUGUACAAAAAAAAUACCUAGCUAAAUUUUACAUAGCAGCUCCUAGAAAUGUAUAGUUUUUGACGCUUUUUCCGCAUGCCUUCUGUGUGGCAUUUGUAUACAGAACAUUUUGCAAAAUAUAGCUUUGAAUUCGUAUUGAGUUGGCCACAUUGUUAGGCAAUUGGAAAGCAAAUACUGUUUUUAAACAUUUCUAUAUAUGGCGUAUGGUUUCUGUCCAGGUCCACAAUCCAAGUUAUUGUCGCUUUAAAAUGGACUGGCAGGAUGAGCUCAAAUUACCAGUUAUUGGUACUUCUCAAAUUCACAAGGGAAGGAAGGUGCCUAACACGUAAGUGCAAAUAUUGUUUAAAUAUUAUCUCAAAAGAAUAGUGGCUUGAUGGCCUUUUGUUUAUCUAAUCAUAGUGGCACGUGAUAGAAAUCUCUCAUUUUCUUUCCCUUCUUUUUAAUAAAAUAUAAUUACAUAAAUGAGGUAAUGGCAUCUGCAUAUCCUGUGCAACUUUUAUCCAAAUAUUGAUGAGAUUUAGAUUAAACAUCUCUUUAAGUUUUUGAAGAUACGAAAACAGGAUAGAAAAACAAAAUAUAGUGCUAGUACAAUCCAGUAAUCCACAGCCCAUAUGUACUCUCUCCAAGCUGCAAUGUGAUGCUGAUGGUUACAGGGGACUUCUUGUUUCGUGAAGUUUAUGUGCUAGAUCUUUGGAUGUGAAGGUGAUGCUUUUAUUUUUGAGCUUUGUAAUCUGACCGUAUGGAGAUUGGAGAUGUCUCAUUUAUGAAGUUAGUCUUUUGUCUUGUUGCUUGCUUACUCAUAGUGACCUUAUGAAUAUGAAUCUUUAUUUUAAUGGAUAUUCAUUUGUUCCAG
rnacentral:misc_RNA from 1 species